rnacentral:rRNA from 1 species
GACGAACCGUGCGAACGUUGUUCGGAAUCACUGGGUUUAAAGGGCGCGUAGGCGGGCUGUCAAGUCGGUGGUGAAAUCUUUCGGCUCAACCGGAAAAUCGCCUUCGAUACUGGCGGCCUUGAGGGAGGUAGGGGCAUGCGGAACUUCCGGUGGAGCGGUGAAAUGCGUAGAUAUCGGAAGGAACACCGAUGGCGAAAGCAGCGUGCUGGACCUUUCUGACGCUGAGGCGCGAAAGCCAGGGGAGCGAAACGGG